GAAAAGGAUCUUCCAAGAAAUGUUCUUACUCAGCCAAAAGCACAGUGGAAGGCCUAGUGUAGGACAGCAGGUAUGUCUUCAAAACUGGGUAUUUUGUUUUAUUUUAUGAAUAAAUCCAGUACUCGUGCUGAGUCAGCUUAUACAGAAAGUCAAAGAUGCUGAAAAACUAAUACUUCACAUAUUCAAGGAUCCUCUUCGUUAAGGAGAUAAAAGUUUUCUUUUGAAGGAAAAAAGCCAUACACAUUAACACAUUAGAAUUUUGAAACUGCCACAACCAUAGAACUUAAUUUGUUAUAAAAUGAAGAAGUAAUGUUUUGUUAAUAAACCUGGCCUACUGCAUUUGCUUCUCUGUGGUUUAAGCUCUUGUCCUUGAGAAUAGGUAUUAUACACAGCACUAAAUAUGUUUGUUUCAUUUUCAGUCCUAUCUAUUCCUGUCAAAUACAUGUCAUAUUUAUUCAUCCGUAUUUUUUAUUAGAAUUUGCAAACAGGGCAUUUUAAAGAUAAAUGAAAAUAAAAUGGAAACCACUUCCCUGCGGCGGAAAUUUCCAGAAUGGAUGUCAACGCAGAAUAAAAGCUGUGCCACACAAGAAAAGGCAAGCAUUCAGAAGAGUGUUCUUGAAGAUGACCUCCCAUUCUUAGAAUUUACUGGAUCUGUUGUUUACAGUUAUGAGGCCAGCGAUUGCUCUUUCCUGUCUGAAGACAUUAGGUAAGGGAUUGGAAGUUCUUGCUGUCAAAUUUAUACCCUUAAGAGAUAGUGAGUGAUAUUUCUGAGUUCCUCGCUUUACAAUGGAAGUGUAUUUCAGAAGCUUUUUACAUGUAUCAUGUCACUAAGUUGCAUUUUACUUUUAAAAAUACAAAAUAAACUCACUAAAUUAAAUUAGUAAGGUACCUAAUUAGUUAAUCAGUAACCUUUUCUACUUCAUUAGAUAAGUUUUUAUUUUGGUGCUUAAGAUAUAAAAUACAAUAUAAAACUAUUGAAG
rnacentral:lncRNA from 1 species